GGCUUGAUAGUGCAAGUGGUAUGCAUGUCUGUUUAUGGCGAAUAUUUAGCUUGAUAUGUUCUCAUGGGUAGAAAGCUCUCGGUUCGAGUCCGGGUCGAAUUG